CUGAGGGCUCAUGAAGACAGCGCUUGGACCUCCCCGGCCGCUCGCCCACCACUUCGGACCCUUCCGGUACCCCUGCUUUAGCUCUGCCCGCCGCCAAAGCCCUCCGCCGCCAGAUGACUAUCCAGCACGGAGUUUGGGCAGUGGCCUCCUUCGCUGCAGGUACGCGUCUGCCGCAGCUUGACUCCGGGAGCUUGUAAGAGGAAGCCUUAAUGAGCUGAAGGCCUCCCCGGCGAGGCAGAAAUGUAUGCAAAUGAGAUGCACAAGCAAGAGGAUCCCGGGCAGAGAGAGAGAGAGAGAGCGAGCGAGCGCGAGAGAGCGAGCGCGAGAGACGGGCGAGACUCCCAGCCGUCUGCACGCGGUGCCUGUAGCUGGACGACGGGCAGCUUUGAUAAUGGAAAUGGUAACAAAAGCACCUUUUCAUCCUCGAGUUAAGUUAAUGUGCUAACCAGCUAUUGUUUGCAUUCUGUCCAUUGAAAACUUCAAAGUGGCCCCACUAAUCUGUGGGAAUUCCGAGGAACGGCACUGACCUUCUUCGGAUUUUUCUUUUCAUUUUGCUCCUUGCUGUAUACAUUUGUUUCAAUUUUUUGUGUUUGCUGUUUCAGUCAUAUUCCAUUUUCAUCUUAUUCAGGAAGCGUAUCUUGUCGUUUACAUGCAAGAAUGCGCGUCUUUGUCGGAGGACGGAGGAAUGAUGUUAAUUUCGGUUAUGUAGACAAAAAUACGUAUUUAGUCCUAGGUUAGUUCUAAAAGGUACUGACCUGAAUUAGAGUCAUUUUUCAAAAGUAGAGCUCUGUCCUAAUUUUUUUCCACAAAUUUAUUUUUAUACCAUCAUGGUAUAUGAAAGGAGAAUUGCAUAUUAAAAUGAAUGUAUAUGGCCGUUUAAAUAAAAUUAUUUGACAGGAAUAAUUUAGGAGCGUUCAUAGUUUAAAAAAAAACUUUUAUUUAUGCCGAUAUUAAUAGCCUGAAUGAAUAUUUCGAAAGAAUUAUUUUUCAAAUUUUGAUAUGUUUAUAGUGGGAAUUCCUGUUUGCUGCUUCAGCAUUUCAAAUCAUCUCUCCUUCAUCCGCUAAACAUCCUCGCCUUGUGCAAAAACAACAUGCAGUAUAUUACGUUUCACACGCAUAAAACUCGCCGUAACGUGAACGAUAGACUGAGAUUUAAAAAAAGAAAAAAAAAACAAAACAACGUGGCCUUUGCUGUGAUAUUCAUGUGGCGCCCGUUGGUUUUAUUCUCUACGCCCCACGCGCGUGUUCAUCUCCGUCCUGUAUAAAUACCGUUAAACUUUUUGGGAAUAUAUGUCUCCCUCAUCGUCUGUGCCAAUUAAAGAAAAACACCAACCAAUUUCAUAACAAUUAAUUAAUUAAUUAAUUAAUUAAUUAGAGGAGGUGGGGGGGAUCUACAAGGUUAGAAGCCAGUCAAGUACUUAAAAUGCACAAGUUGUUACGUUGCAGCAAAAUAGGUGACUGAACCGGCGUCUGUUACUUCUUAUAUAUUAAUGCAAAUAUUUCCGAAGCUUUCACGAGAAUAGCAGCUAGUAUAUGUGAAGUAAUUAUACAGGUAUAUGUAUAUAAAUAUACACAUAUUAUUUUUGCAUAGAAAUAUAUUUUAUAUGCGCGGCGCGUGUAUCCCUGCCGAGAUCAGUUUUCCAUUUUUACAUCCUGAUGUCCAUUGUUAAUCUCCGAAGUCUGCAACUUAAAUUUUUCGGAAAAUAAUUAUACACACAUCCAUUUCGUCUAUUUUACUUCAAUUUAAGUUUUAGCUUUAAUUCAAAAUACGUACGUCGUCUGUUGAGUUUUUUUUUUUGUUGUUGUUGUUGAUGUUAUUUCGAAUGUUACACAUUGCAAACGCUUUGUUUUAAUAAUACCUGUAUUAAUAUACACAUUUCAAUAACAUGGAGCUGAAAUCCUGUCAUCCUUUCAUUAAGCCAGUGGGUGUCGAUCCAUUCCGUGUAACAACCCGUAUGAUGUACAACGUGAACUGUUCCUUAUUGGCAUGUAUCAGUUAAUGCAAAUAUAGUUUAAAAUAAUGGGUUUAAUAACAUAACAACAUUUCUAUUUAGCUAAUGUGAAAUAUCUUUAUAUUUUGUCUGAUUGCAGUAACAUUUUUGCCUCUUUUCCGAAAUGUACAUAUACAUCUCAAAAAGGUCAGUGCACGAAAACAGGGAAGAAAAAGGGGUAUUUUAGAAUAACUUUGA